CUUUAUGAAAUGGCAAUUUUAAUUUUUAAUACCUUAGCCGAGCAUAAUUUUUGAUUUUUUUUUUAAAAUAUUACGUGGUGUACUAUGUUGUUUGCUGUUAAUAUUUUGCAGAAUUUAUCAAAUUCUCUUCAAUGUAUUUUAUAGAUUAAAAGUGUAUUUAAUGUAUGGGACCUAUUUGGUAAGGUUAUGUGUGACCCUUUUAAGCGUAGAAGAGAGAAAAACAUCAAGAAGGUUUUGGUGUUAUCUGAAGAAAAAUUGUGCAGCUUAAUACUUCUUCCCUCUUUUUUCAAUGCUUCCCCUUCGUUCAAUUUUCUAUAUAGAACUAAUAAUAAGCAAAUAGUUGGGGGAGUGAGCUGAGGAGUUUGUCUUCAUAGAGAUAUAGGAGUUUAGCAUAAGAAGGAGUUUCUGCAAAUCAAGUGGCAACAAUUUCAAGGAAUUCAUUCAUGAACUAAUUUCAAAGUAUAUAGUUACGGCUUAAGCUUCAAGAGGAUCAGAUAUAUCGAUGAGCAGACUUCUAUACUAGGCACUUGUUCGUAUUCAGCAAGGCAGUCGGAAUUGUGGGUUAAUCAUCUCCUCCUGACGGAUCAAGUUCAGAUUAGCCUGCCAAAACGGACCAAGUUCAGAAGAGACUUUGGAGAUUAUUUCGAUAAUUUUGGCCCAAAUUAAGACUAUAUCGAGGACUGCUUUAAGAAAUACUAAUAAUUACCCUCACUAACUGAAUUAUAUAACCAUUUAAACUUUGAAGUAUACCUUAACAAUAAGAGAUGUAAAAUAUCGAACAGCAAGCUUGCAUCUUUGGUUUUUACUUGAUAAUCUAGCAUAAUCAAAUAUUAACAUGUACCCCUAAAUAAAUCAGGGCUCCCACCGUGGUUCGUUCCAGCUCUAGAAUUUGAGGCCCAAGUCCAUAUAGUAAGUAGUCCAACAAGUAGAUGGCCCAAGAUAAAUUCAAAUCAAAUUUAUCCAUCAAAUCAAAUGAUAAUAUUAAAUAAAAUAAGUACAUAUUUUGACAUAAUGAUAAAAUAUACGUACUUGGUUUGAUGUAAAGGGAGUACAAAUAACCUUUUUUAAUUCUUAUGUUAUCCUUUUCUUAAUUAAUAACUAUAUGGUUAAUUGAUAUCAUGAAGAAGCAGCAGCAUGUUGAUGAUCAUCUCUAUUUGCCGCCGUCUUGUCCGGUAAAUGUGUGGCAUCCAACGCAAUGGUCAUUUCCCUCGGAUUCAAUAAUUAUUAUUCCCUCUUGCUAUAUUACUAUAUUUAGAACACAAAGUAUUACAGUACUUACUAGUUGUACUCUACACCAAAACAAUCAAAACACUUAUGCAUGCAUUAACAUUUGUCUGAUUUAUGCAUAUUUUAAGUCUUAUCAGAAGAAAGAAUAUCUAAUGGCCAUUUAAAAAUUAAAUAGAAGAAAAUAAUUUUUGAAUCUUUUAUGUAUAAACGUAAAGAUUUCUUAAAAAAAAAGAUAUAAUUAAAACUAAGAGUAAGUUGUCCACAGUGAGAUCCUUAUUUAUACAUAAAAUCUAAAAAUACUAUUUUUUGUUCUAUCAAUUUGUAAACGAUCAUGGUGGAUUAUUCCGCACAGUUUUCUCUGUAAAGUUUACGCUGGUCAUAAUUUUAUGGCAUCUAUUUUAAAACCUUUUCCUCCCAAAUAUAUUAAAUAUAUUUAUAACCUUUUGUUACUUAUAUAUGCUUUAAUUUCUUUCUAAUUCUUUCAAACGUGAAAUGAAGGUGAGUUGGGAUUUCAAAUAUAAAUAAAUGCUAGCAUAUAUACAAAGCUAAACUUGCCUUUGCUUUAAGCUGCUGUUAGCCUUUUGGAGGGAAAAAAAAUCCAAAACAAAAUAAAACAGACUAUUUUGAGCAUAGGAAUAAGAAAAGAUGAGAUGCCCCAUGUUCAUGUAUAGAGUGGAGGGGUCCUAUAUCUCUAUCAUCCACAAAACUUUGUGUGUUUUUCUUCAACAUCAAUAAAAGUAUAGAAUAGUCGAAUAUGUAAAUAAUCUCAACCACUCUUCCACCACUUGCCUUUUCGUUUUAUUUGUAACUUUAAAUGCAAGGAGUGUUACUUUUCUUUUAAAUGCUUUUAAUUUGUGUUUCUCCUCCUAUCAACAUUAAUUAUUUUGGGUGAAGUCAAAUCUAGCAAUACAAUGCCUAUUAGAAAAGGAAAAACUACUUAUAACUUUUCAUUAUUACUUAAAAUAUCAUCUCACUAAACUAAUUACAAAAAUCUCUUCUAACUCAUAAAAGUAGCUUGUUUUCAGAUACAUCACAAUUCACUCUUAUUACUUCGCCUACUGGGCCGCAAAUAUCAGCCAAAAUUCAGGUAAUGUCUCCGGCUAUUUUCUAAGCAAAACUUUUGAUUGUUUUUAUUACAAUUUCUAUAAAUUAAUUUUCGUCCAUCUGUUAGACUAUUAUGCAUCAAAAGAUAUUUUACUCUUCAUCUAUGUAUCAUAUAAGCUAAUUGUAGU